GAAGCAUCUGUGUGGUUUCCUGGGGAAUCCAGGAUGUGGACUUGAAACUCUGGGAUUGAGGUUGUGUGAUUUGUCAGAGAUCAGCUGUUAUUAUCUGGCAGCAAUGCUGAGGUCCAUCCCCUCCCAUCUGAGAGAGCUGGACCUGAGCUACAACUACAAGCUGCAGGAUUCAGGAGUGAUGUGUCUGUGUGGUAUCCUGGAGGUUCCAGGAUGUGGACUUGAAACUCUGAGAUUGGAGUUCUGUGGUUU